rnacentral:lncRNA from 1 species
CGGAAUUCUUUGUGAAUAAGGGUUUCGAUGCAGAAGUCAUUGGAGUAACACCCAACAAAGGCACAGUGCGUGACAUGCUUGUGUUUCCCUGUGGUGGGGGCCAGACAGUGCUGUAGGAGGUUAAUGUAGCUGAAAGGAGGGACCAGAGGUGGUUGAUGUAUAAGAGAGAGGAGGAGGAAAAUCUCAGAGAGGAUACCGAUGACUGAGGGAGCAGCACUGUCUGACUGACUGACUAACUUUCAAGUGGAACAAUGAGGUCGUUCAGCGCAUGGCGCGGCGCCUUACCCAGGCGGAGAUCCAAUAUCUCCUGCUGUGCAGCUGUGAACAAGUCCUGUGCGUUCCUCUUCUAGGCCGAUA